UAAGUAAGCUUUGAUCCAGAGAUUUCCGAAUGGGGAAACCCAGCAUGAGUUAUGUCAUGUUAUCGAUAUGUGAAUACAUAGCAUAUCAGAAGGCACACCCGGAGAACUGAAACAUCUUAGUACCCGGAGGAAGAGAAAGAAAAUUCGAUUCCCUUAGUAGCGGCGAGCGAAACGGGAAGAGCCCAAACCAACAAGCUUGCUUGUUGGGGUUGUAGGACACUCUAUACGGAGUUACAAAGGACGACAUUAGACGAAUCAUCUGGAAAGAUGAAUCAAAGAAGGUAAUAAUCCUGUAGUCGAAAAUGUUGUCUCUCUUGAGUGGAUCCUGAGUACGACGGAGCACGUGAAAUUCCGUCGGAAUCUGGGAGGACCAUCUCCUAAGGCUAAAUACUCUCUAGUGACCGAUAGUGAACCAGUACCGUGAGGGAAAGGUGAAAAGCACCCCGGAAGGGGAGUGAAAUAGAACCUGAAACCGUGUGCUUACAAGUAGUCAGAGCCCGUUAAUGGGUGAUGGCGUGCCUUUUGUAGAAUGAACCGGCGAGUUACGAUUUGAUGCAAGGUUAAGCAGUAAAUGUGGAGCCGUAGCGAAAGCGAGU
rnacentral:rRNA from 1 species